rnacentral:rRNA from 1 species
GUAGGUGGCAAGCGUUGUCCGGAAUUAUUGGGCGUAAAGCGCGCGCAGGCGGUUCUUUAAGUCUGAUGUGAAAGCCCACGGCUCAACCGUGGAGGGUCAUUGGAAACUGGAGAACUUGAGUACAGAAGAGGAAAGCGGAAUUCCACGUGUAGCGGUGAAAUGCGUAGAGAUGUGGAGGAGCACCAGUGGCGAAGGCGGCUUUCUGGUCUGUAACUGACGCUGAGGCGCGAAAGCGUGGGGAGCAAACAGGAUUAGAUACCCUGGUAGUCCACGCCGUAAACGAUGAGUGCUAAGUGUUAGGGGGUUUUCCGCCCCCCUUAGUGCUGCAGCUAACGCAUUAAGCACUCCGCCUGGGAGUACGGCCGCAAGGCUG